rnacentral:tRNA from 1 species
ACCAAAAUGGUUCAAGUGAUAGAGCAUCAGACUUUUAAUAUGAGGAUCCAGGUUUAAAGUCCCUGUUUGGGUG